rnacentral:rRNA from 1 species
UACGUAGGGUGCAAGCGUUGUCCGGAAUUAUUGGGCGUAAAGAGCUCGUAGGCGGCUCGUCGCGUCGACCGUGAAACCCGCGGCUUAACUGCGGGCUUGCGGUUGAUACGGGCGGGCUAGAGUUCGGUAGGGGAGACUGGAAUUCCUGGUGUAGCGGUGAAAUGCGCAGAUAUCAGGAGGAACACCGAUGGCGAAGGCAGGUCUCUGGGCCGAUACUGACGCUGAGGAGCGAAAGCGUGGGGAGCGAACAGG